UAGCAUUCCUGCCCAAUAGUACCCCAUUAGCAUUGUAGACAUAUGGCCGGCCAACCUUCGACCCAUGGCAACUGACGCCCAGGCACGGCCCAAAGCUAAUUAACCUAAUUGAAGCCUAAACCCAAGCGAGAACCCGAACCUAUUUGCUCUGGACGCCGGCCGACGAAAAUGUUGAUCGGAGCGGCUUUCUGCCAAGAGAUGGCUAGACAGAAAACCAUGAUGACGGCGGGUGAUGCAUUUUCUUCUCCAUUCUCCCAGCAUAUAGGAAUGGCAAGGAACUUCAGUGUUUUGGCGGAGGAGAAGCGCUGUAUGAAAGAUCACAACCGCCGGUUAAUGGCUGAGAAAUUCGAAGUGAAGCGAAAGCUUUACAAAGCCCUCGUUAGAGAUCCUGAACUUCCGAAUGAGCUGAAGGAAAAGCACCGCUAUAAGCUGGCCAAGUUGCCCAGAAACAGCUCCUUUACCCGGAUUCGAAAUCGUUGUAUUCUCACUGGUCGCCCACGCGCCGUCUAUCAGCUAUUUCGGAUGUCUCGUAUUUGCUUCCGCGAAUUAGCUUCGAGGGGUGCCUUGAUGGGCAUCAAGAAAGCUUCUUGGUAGAACCCAAUUUAUAGCCUUUAUUUCAGUGUUGCUAUAUGAAACAAGCGUCUGAACUGGAAUGUCAAAAUCUCUCUACAGAGAUGGGAGUUGUGGCACAUCUUUUUGGAAGAUAAUGAGCAGCUUCAAUCAUUUCGGCUUUGGGAUAUUUUGUUGCAAUUGCAUGUCCAUCCUGUCUAUGUAUAAUGCUUUUCGAGAUUCUUGGGUUUCGAGAUUCUUUUCGGGUAUAGACUGAUUUCGCCUAGAUGUUGAGAAUAGAUUACUCUAAUUACUUUUAGUGUCGUAAUCAGGAGACUGGAUCAGAUUUUUCUCUGCUUUCUUAUUUGCCAUAGUAUCAAGCUGCUGCUAUAUUUUCUUGGGUUAUGUAUCCUUGGUUAAAAUUCUUAUCUUGUGAUUUCAAUGCUGCUCCUUGGUUAAA